rnacentral:lncRNA from 1 species
AUUAGAUUUUAAUCUUUCAAUUAUCUUUGAAAUUUUGUUUCACUUCUGUUAACUGGACUGAAUCUUGAAUUCUUCUAGUCUCCUGAAAUAUCUGGCUAAAAACCUCCAAACUAACAUUUUCAGGGUUCUUUUAUUCCCAUUACUUUCAUUUAGAGUCAUUAAAAACUACAUCUGCCCUUUUUCCUAAAGCCUUACAAACUGAAGCUGGAAGACCUAAUAUAAACUUAAAAGAGAUUCAUGUCUACUGCUGUGUAAGCCACUCAAAAAGCUACCUGAGUGCCCGAUGACACCAUCAGAGACAUUUCAAACUGCAAAAGAUGUUUCGACCCUGACUUCUAGGAAUCUUGAUUGGCUGCCCCCUGGACUCAGAAACUGGUUUAUAAUUUGCUCCAAUCAUUAACCUUGUUUUUCUCUUUUUGUUUCUCUAGAAAAACUUCUUAUUAAAUACCUGGUUACUUACUUACAUGAUACAGGCCUACUUUCAGGAACCCACCAGCAUCACUGCCUUAUUAAAAGACUGAUUCAAUAAGAUGAAACAACCUAUGCCCCAUUUCAGCAGGAAGUAGCUAGAUCAGUCACCGCCUCAAAUCCCUCAAGAUUGAGGGAUGGACAUAAAAUAGGGGGGAGUUGAUACCGACCCUGAUAUCAGUUUCCCCACACUAAACCCAGCAUAUAUGGGGUUAAAACCAAAACACUCAUUCCCUUCUUACUCUCUGGCUUCCUGGCUCCAGAAUCCACUAUCCUCCAUGGAGACAGACACUGUCAAGGACAAGCACCUGGACUAUCUCCUCCCGCAAAGAGCCUCUGUUUAAAAAAAUCUAUGAGAAGGCUCUCAUUGGAUCAGCUUGGGGCAGGUACAUUCCCUUGAACCAAUUAACUGUGGACGGGGGACAAGGUCACACGAUAACCUGGCAGCCUGGAAGCAGGAAGCAAGGAGCAGAGGCAGCAACUAGAAGGUGAGUAAUGCCUACCAGUCAUUUCUAUGGGUGUCCACUGAACCAACAACCCCAUCAUUUUGUUUGUUUGUUUGUUUUUGCUAAGUAAGAUUUGCCCUGAGCUAACAUUCAUUGUCAAUCUUCCUCUUUUUUUUCCCUCUUUUUUCUGUGAGCUGCCACCACAGCAUGGCCACUAACAAACAAGUGUUGUAGGUAUGUGCCUGAGAUCUGAACCUGGGCUGCUGAAGUGGAGCAUGCCGAACUUAACCACUAGGACACAGGGGCUGGCUCUUGAUGUCUUAUUUCGCAUUCAUUAAUCUAUGUAUGAGUCCAGAGAAGUAUACCAUGUUCAUGGAUUGGAAAACUCAAUAUUGUAAAGAUUAAU